UGCCGUUGCUAGACCCCCCAGAAUCUGGUUCCUAAAGACAGCUUCCCUCAACCCUGCCACCCUGCUCCCGGAUGAUGAGCCAUCGGAGCCACUCCAUGACUGUCUCAAAAUGCACAGAUGGGAGCAGCUACGUCUCAGAAGGAGUCAGGAAAAAAAAAGAAAAGAAAAAAGAUGAGACCUAAUCAAGCAAAUACAUCAGAACACACCCACCUUGGCAGCACCAAGUUAACCGAACUUCUCCAGAGGGACUGCUACACUCCCUGGCUACAUCAGAUGGCCCAGCAGGUAACAACGAGAUGUCGUGCCUGUGUGCAAGUCAAUUCAGGUACAGCCUGGAGACCUCGUCUGGACAAGAAAACUUCAGCCUGUAGCUUAGAGGCCAGGUGGACUGGACCCCUGCCAGUGACCCUCACCACACCAACAGCCGUGAGGGUUGCCGGAAAGCG